rnacentral:rRNA from 1 species
CACGUAGGGGGCGAGCGUUGUCCGGAAUCAUUGGGCGUAAAGAGCUCGUAGGCGGCUCGGUAAGUCGGGUGUGAAACCCCCGGGCUCAACCUGGGGACGCCACCCGAUACUGCUGUGGCUAGAGUCCAGUAGGGGAGUGUGGAAUUCCCGGUGUAGCGGUGAAAUGCGCAGAUAUCGGGAGGAACACCAGCGGCGAAGGCGGCACUCUGGGCUGGAACUGACGCUGAGGAGCGAAAGCGUGGGUAGCAAACAGG